CAUGGUGUUCGGAGGUCGAGAUUUCCCGACAUAUGAAUUUGUUCCACCAGAAGGCAAGAAAAACACUCAUCAAGAUGUGGUUGAUUUCAAUUUCUUGGUGGAAACACACGAUCUCGUGGAGAAUAAUUUGUACCCUUUCGUUCACCUUUCGACUGACGGCAACAUCUUCAUCUUCGCUAACAAUCGUUCAGUUAUUUUGAACCCUAAGACCCACAAAAUCAUCCACGAGUUCCCGGUGCUCCCUAAUGGUGCUCGUAAUUAUCCUGCGUCAGGAAGCGCUUGCCUCCUUCCGAUCAUACUCAAGCCUAAUGAGGAUCGUCGUGUGAUCCCCGCCGAGAUUUUGAUAUGCGGUGGAGCACCGCACGAUGCGUUUGAAAAAGCUGAUUUGCAGCGUCCUAAGGUGUUUUUGCCCGGGAGCUGUGAUUGUGCUCGCCUUGAUUUCACCAAAAGGAAUAGUAAAUGGAAGAUCUUAAACAUGCCGUCAGCUCGUCUAUUGGGAGACAUGGCAGUUCUUCCAACAGGAGAUGUGCUUAUUGUUAACGGCGCAAAGACCGGUUCAGCUGGUUGGGAUGACGCCAGGGAGCCGAAUUUGAACCCUGUUUUGUACAAAUUCAAAACCGAUGGAACUGGUUCCAAGUUCACCGUGCUUAAUCCAUCCAACAUUGCUCGUAUGUACCACUCCUCGUUCGCUGUCCUCCCUGAUGCAAAAGUCCUCAUUGCCGGAAGCAACACGAACCCAGGUUACCUCGAUGACGCAUUAUUUCCCACCGAAGUUCGGGUUGAGAAGUUCUCGCCACCUUACUUGGACCCUAACUUGGCCAUGUUCCGACAAGAGAUCAUCACCGAAAAGUCCGAUAACCAAUUAAAGUAUGGCCAAAAAUUCACAGUGCAAAUCCGUGGAAAUGGUGUAAUCGACCAACAAAAGCUUCAAGUGACGAUCUACUCGCCGCCGUUUGUGACCCACGGGAUCUGCAUGAAUCAGAGAUUGAUUCAAUUGGGAAUUUUGGAAUUUAAUAAAGAUGUAGCCCCAAAUACAAACAACAUUGUUCUUCAAGCUCCCAUGAAUGGCAACAUUGCGCAACCUGGUUAUUACAUGCUCUUCGUGAACUACAAUGGGGUGCCUUGCCUUCGAUCGAUGUGGGUACAAAUUUUGCCAUAAAUAUUUCACCGGAAGCAUUUAAUCGUCGAAGACACUAUAUAUAAUUAUUUUAUUUCUAUAUAUAAAAAAAUAUAUGAAGUACUCUAUUUACAUGUUUGUUGCACCCACUAUUGUUUUGAAGAUCAUAUGAAGAAUUGAAUUUACUUAUUUGCGAAUUUUUUUCUUGUCCUCACUUUGACUACAUUUUUAUGAUCUAUAUUUUCAACUUAAAUUUAUUUAAAAUUUUAAUAUUUAAAUCUUGACUCAUGGAAAAGGAAAUAUUACAUGAUUUUUUUAUUUUCAAGAUUAAAUAGAAAUGCAUUUUUUAAAAUUAUAUAAAAAUUAAAAAUUUAUAAUUAAAAUAUUAAAUAUUUAAAUCUUGACUCAUGGAAAAAGAAAUAUUACAUGGUUUGUUUAUUUUCAAGAUUAAAUAGUAAUGCAUUUUUUAAAAUUAUAUAAAAAUUAAAAAUUUAUAAUUAAAAUAUUAAAUAUUUAAAUCUUGACUCAUGGAAAAAGAAAUAUUACAUUAUGUGUUUAUUUUCAAGAUUAAAUAGAAAUGCAUUUUUUAAAAUUAUAUAUGUACAAGCACAAUUUUUAGCCCAAAACCCAAUACAAUCCAUUAACCCUCAGCCCAAAACAAUUAAACCCAAAACCCAUUUACACCCAAACCCAAAGCCCAAUAGCCCGGGCCCAAGUUCCCUAAAAAAUAUCUGCCUAGGGUUUCAGAGACUGAAACCUUAGGCACCGCCCCUUGACUUUUGAUCCUCUGCCACCGCUGCCAACAUCACACUGCCGCCGCCUACAUCACGUCGGCCACCCUCCACUUGCGCGCGUCACAAUCUGGUCCCACCUGUCUUUUUUAUUUCUAAUACGCCCAGUUUUUUUUGUUUUCAUUUCAAUUUAGUCCCCUUUUUAGCUUUUUCAUUAUUUUAUUAUUAUCAUUAUUAUUAUUAUCAUUAUUAUUAUCUUUACUAUUAUUAUUAUAUUUAUUAAUAUUAUUGUUAUUAUUAUGUUUUUUUAUAUUCAUUUAUGAAAUUUUUAAAUAUACUUGUUUUAAUAUAUUAUUAUAUAUUUUCAUCUACAUACAUAUAUUCUUAUGUUUUGUAAUAUUUAUGUAUACCUUUCUUAAUAUAUAUAUAUAUGUACAUAUUUUAACCUUUGUAAAUAUAUAUACAUAUAUAUAUACACAUAUUUUAAUUUAUGUCCACAUAUAUACAUCUCUUUACAUUUACCGUGGUUUCAUUUUGUAUUCACUAUUUAUUUAUUUUGUUUUCAUUUAGUAUUUUGAAUGAAGGAUUUAAUCUUGUUCGUUUAUAUAUUUUAUUGUUUGUAUGUUGUUAUCGUUGUUCAUAUCAUUUUUAUACUUUUGUAUUCAUUAUGGUUUUGCCAUGUGUAACAACAAUGUAAUUUGCUUUCACAUUUUUUUACUACGACUUCGUGUUUUUAUUUCGCUCGAUAUAAUAAAAUUUGUUUUAAAAAAUGGCAUUUCGUGUUUAGAUUCGAGAAGAUCGUACCCUAACUUACUGGGUUUCGAUUUUCACAAUAAAUCUAAAUGCACGAAUAUUUUCAAACUCAAGUUUUAAACGAUCUCGAGAAUUAAGAAAAGAUCGUGUCCUAACUUACUGGGCAUGAUCCCUUUCUUAAACCCGAGAUAAUAAAAUAUCUUUUAAAUAAGUAAAUUUUAACAUUUUUCAUUCGCGUAUCGGGAAUUUGAGCCAUUGUGUCCUAACUUACUGGGUAUGAUUCUCUUUCUCGAAUCACGUGAAAUAUGCUUCUUUUCCCAAAACUUUUCAUUUUAAUACAAUGAUCGUAUUUUUAAAAUUUUCAAGUUCUCAAUUUUCGACAUCAAGACAUUAGAUAAUCAACUAGGUACCAAUUUUGGGCGCAUCGAGGGUGCUAAUCCUUUCUCGUGCGUAACCGACUCCCGAACCAAUUUUUCUGAAUUUCGUGGACCAAACUUGUUGUUUUAAUAAAAUCAAACCGUUUAUUAAAAACAAUCACUUUUCAAGGUGAUCCAAUCACACCUCAUAAAAAAGGAUUGGUGGCGACUCCAGUCUCAUUUUUCAAAACCCAAGUCGACCUCGUUUUUAUCAAAAAAAUGGUGUCAACAAUAUAAAAAUUAAAAUUUUAUAAUUAAAAUAUUAAAUAUUUAAAUCUUGACUCAUGGAAAAAGAAAUAUUACAUUAUUUGUUUAUUUUCAAGAUUAAAUAAAAAUGCAUUUUUUAAAAUUAUAUAAAAAUUAAAAUUUUAUAAUUAAAAUAUUAAAUAUUUAAAUCUUGACUCAUGAAAAAAGAAAUAUUACAUUAUUUGUUUAUUUUGAAGAUUAAAUAGAAAUGCAUUUUUUAAAAUUAUAUAAAAAUUAAAAUUUUAUAAUUAAAAUAUUAAAUAUUUAAAUCUUGACUCAUGGAAAAAGAAAUAUUACAUGAUUUGUUUAUUUUCAAGAUUAAAUAUAAAUGCAUUUUUUAAAAUUAUAUAAAAAUUAAAAUUUUAUAAUUAAACUAUUAAAUAUCUCAAUGAAAAUUUUUCCAUUUUAGGUCGGUUAGGUCCCCUGACUCCGCCACUGCUUGGUGGUUAAAUUUUAUUGCAGUAACAAUAUUGUAGGGAGGUCCUGCGGAAAAAUAGCUCGAUGCCAAUUGUAUAAAAUUGUAAAUUUAGUCCAUAAUUCUCUAAUUAGAUCACUUUUAUUAGUCUCUAUACUUUUCAAAUUCUGAAAUUUAAAUUUUGACACAAACAACAAUCAUUAAAUCAAUCAACUUUUUUAGAGUAAUGCAUAAAAAUAGCAAGUUGACAUGGCAUUACACAUAUGAUAUUAAAUUUUAAAAAUAACAUAAUUUAACUAAAUGAAUUUAACAGUUACCAUUUAGUCAAGACUAAAAUUUUAAAAAUUGAAAAGUAUAGUGGCAAAAAAUAUCAAAUUAAUGUUUAAGGACUAAAUUUACAAUUUAAAUAUAAUACAAGAAUUAAUAGCCAAAUUUAACAUUUUAUUAACUAAUCUUCCUCUAAACAUGGUGAGAUCACUAAUUCCUCGCGAAAUUCAUGCACUUUGAAACGUAAAAAUGCAUAUAAAAGGCAACGAAACCCAUUCUGAAAAAACGAAGCAGAUGAUUCACAGAAUAAAAAACAAGCUAGGUUUUACAUUGUAUAUCUAAAUAAUAAACGAUGGGUUUGUUUUGGAGAGUUCUUAUUAUAUUACCUCUCUUUUUUGCAUAUGUGAACGGUGAACAUUUUACGUACCCUUCCCGUCAUCCUGGCAAAGCCGAGUUAGCUGGUUUCAAGGGGCCGGACUCUCUUGCUACCGAUGGUGGCGGUUUCUUUAGCGGUCCCUUGGUUGUUGAUAAUGAUGCAACUGCUACUAUCGGCAACCAAGGUGGAACUACCGAGGUGACGGUUGGGAAGCCCGAAGACGAUACCCUCGUUGCGUCUCUAGACAAUGAUGGAAUUAGAUAUGCAAAUCUGAUUGAGGCUGCAACUACGUUUAAAGGAAGUUGGGAAUUGUUCCUUGAGAAUGGCGGUGUUUCUGCCAUGCAUUUGAUAUUGCUUCCUAAGAUCAAUCAAGCUUUGGUGUUUGACGCCACAGUAUGGAAGAUCUCAAAGAUAAAAUUACCUGGACCGCCAUGCCGACACGUCGAGGGAACCAAUGAAGAAGAUUGCUUUGCUCAUUCGGUUCUCAUGGACAUUGAAACAGGAAAGCUUAGGCCACUUAGGGUACGUUUUUUUAAUCUUGUUUUUCUUGGUUAUUACUGGGAUCUAACCCUAUUAUUUAAGAUCAAUAUUUUUUAAAAAUAUUUGAGUUUGAGACGAGAUGUAACAUCAAUAGUAGUUGGAUGGAGCCUCAAAGAGGGAAAAAAAAACUCUCUCAAUUUUUUAUUUGCGUCAUGAUUUCUUACAAUUUUAUGUUUGUUUUUAACUUUUUCAUUUUCUUUUACAGUUGAACUAUGACACUUGGUGUUCAUCGGGUGGUCUUGAUAUCAAUGGUCGAUUGGUAAGCACUGGUGGUUUUAACAAUGGCUCCGACACUGUGAGAAUCCUCGACUUAUGCGAUACUUGUGAUUGGAAAGAAUAUCCCGGUGCACUUGCAAAUGGAAGAUGGUAAGAACCCUAAAUUUUAUUACAUUUUUUUUUAUUUUUUUAAGGAUUAAAAGCUUGAAUUUGACUCUCUCUUUUUUUUUCUUUUUUUCUUUUGGUUGGGGGGUUUGAAGGUAUGCCACACAAGUAACCUUAAGUGACGGUAAAUUCAUGGUGUUCGGAGGUCGAGAUUUCCCGACAUAUGAAUUUGUUCCACCAGAAGGCAAGAAAAACACUCAUCAAGAUGUGGUUGAUUUCAAUUUCUUGGUGGAAACACACGAUCCCGUGGAGAAUAAUUUGUACCCUUUCGUUUACCUUUCGACUGACGGCAACAUCUUCAUCUUCGCUAACAAUCGUUCAGUUAUUUUGAACCCUAAGACCCACAAAAUCAUCCACGAGUUCCCGGUGCUCCCUAAUGGUGCUCGUAACUAUCCUGCGUCAGG
rnacentral:lncRNA from 1 species